CAAAAACUGACCAAGUUUUACUCACUUUUGGGCAUUAACUUUGCUACAUAAGGUCCUUUCCAAACUCAUGGCAUAACCUGGAUGACUCGAUGGUAAUUAAGGUUGAUGAAGAGGUAGAUUUUGAAUUUCAUUGUUAUGAUUUUGAGUGGGGUUCCUCUGAGAUUGUGCUUCUCAAAGAAGAUGAGUAUGAGAAAUGGCAAAGA
rnacentral:misc_RNA from 1 species